UGGGGAAUCUUGCGCAAUGGGCGAAAGCGUGACGCAGCAACGCCGCGUGGGGGAAGAAGGCUUUCGGGUCGUAAACCCCUUUCAGUUGGGACGAAGCUUCGCCGGUGAAUAGCGGGCCGGAGUGACGGUACCUUCACAAGAAGCCCCGGCUAACUACGUGCCAGCAGCCGGGGUAAUACGUAGGGGGCAAGCGUUGAUCGGAAGCAGGUGGCGUAAAGCGCGUGUAGGGGGCUUGAUAAGACCGAUGUG
rnacentral:rRNA from 1 species